AACAGACAUCCAUUUUUUCAAAUGCAUGUGUAGAAUGUCUUACUUUUUGCGAUCACGCGAAAUCAAUACAACUUUCAACAACGGAUCUCUUGGCUCUCGCAUCGAUGAAGAACGCAGACGAAAUGCGAUACGUAAUGUGAAUUGCAGAAUUCAGUGAAUCAUCGAAUCUUUGAACGCAUCCUUGCGCCCCUUGGUAUUCCGAGGGGCACACCCGUUUGAGUGUCGUGAACACCCUCAACCUUCUUGGUUUUUCUACCGGGAAGGCUUGGACUUUGGAGGUUUUCCUUGCUGGCCUCCCUUUGAAGCCAGCUCCUCCUAAAUGAAUUAGUGGGGUCCACUUUGCCGAUCCUUGACGUGAUAAGUAUGCUUCUACGUCUUGNGUCUGCACUGUUGCCCUGGAACCCGCUUCCAACGGUCUUCGACUGAAGACGAUGUUCGAGUCGCGUCGCGACUUCGACCUCAGCGACCUUGACCUCAAAUCGGGUGAGACUACCCGCUGAA
rnacentral:rRNA from 1 species